rnacentral:rRNA from 1 species
AGAUUGAACGCUGGCGGCAGGCCUAACACAUGCAAGUCGAGCGGUAGAGAGGUGCUUGCAUCUCUUGAGAGCGGCGGACGGGUGAGUAAUGCCUAGGAAUCUGCCUAGUGGUGGGGGAUAACGUUCGGAAACGGACGCUAAUACCGCAUACGUCCUACGGGAGAAAGCGGGGGACCUUCGGGCCUCGCGCCAUUAGAUGAGCCUAGGUCGGAUUAGCUAGUUGGUGAGGUAAUGGCUCACCAAGGCGACGAUCCGUAACUGGUCUGAGAGGAUGAUCAGUCACACUGGAACUGAGACACGGUCCAGACUCUA